rnacentral:lncRNA from 1 species
UGGCGAGGUAGGCCACUUCAAAAGAAACUGACCGAAGGAAGGGUUUGCCGGUGGAGCGGCAAGAGUUCUGGCCAUAGGCCAUGAGGAAGCGGUUGCCGACCCCACAGUGGUCACUGGUACGUUCCUCCUCGAUAACUCUUAUGCAUGCAUUCUAUUUGAUAGUGGAGCGGAGAGGAGUUUCGUGAACCAAAAAUUUGCUCAUUUACUUAAGCAAAAAUCACGAGCACUUAAUGGACCGUUCACUGUAGAAAUGGCUAAAGGAAAGACAGAGAGCACUAGCAAUAUAUUCAUAGGGUGUACCCUGUUGGGAUUAAAACCCUAAUUAUGAUUUGAUGAACAAGAUGCGGAAAAUAAGAACAAACACAAAUAUGAAGAUUAUGUCAAAUGAUCAUUCGAUUUAUUGAAUUGUGAGGAACAAAUUACACUUAAGAAAUAAUAAUCUAACUCUACAAGAAACCUCACGUGGCGGCUACAUUUUGCCACACUCUUAACCCUAAUAAUGAAUAAUACAUGACUAUUUAUAGGGAAAAGACAAGUCUUGGGCUUUUAACCUAGAAUUCAUCAAAGGGGCCCAUUGCCAUCAUCCAUGGAGUGCUUUGAAACCCUACAAUCUCCCCCUCAAAGUAUGGAAUGGAUGACAAUGCUUUAACUUCCAAAACAAGCAUCUAGCAAAUAAAAAGAUCUGCAACGAGGAAUAUAUGAAGCAAUCCACGAAUCUUGAUUCUUCAAUAGUCUUCAAACACGGGCUCUAGGAUAUAUAAAUCAAGCACUGAAGUAAUGUCUUUAAACUUCAUUUUCGAAUGUAAUCCCAAAGAAUCUUCAUGAAAACCAAACCCGCCAUAAAACCCAUUUCAGAACAAAGAAACUGAAUCACUUCUUGUCUUUGAAGAGCUCCCCCUCCAAGUCACAACGAUCUUCAAAUAAGCUAAUGAUAUAAGCCAUCAAAAAAUAUCAUGUAACAACCCAAACUUUAAGAUUCGUAACGCCACUUGAUCGAGAAAAUACAAGAAGUCGGAGAUAUAACAAGUCCUUAGCAGAGCUCGAUGAAGAACUCUUGCUGUAAAGGAUACUUCUCUGUAAAAACCUUAGUAGAGCUCGAUGAAGAACUUCUGUAAAAAAGCUACCUUCAUAAUUCUCCCACAAGCUUUAUCAAAAAUCUUCGACUUUGAAAAGUCACAAAUCCAAUUUCGAAUGGCCAUACCAAAUUCUCCCCCGAUUUAUAAUCAAAAACAUGAUUAUAAAGCCUUCAAAUGGUCAUGAGAAUGAUCUUGAUUGGAUAAAAAUUUACUAUGCUCCCCCGCGACAAAAAGAUAUACACAAAAAAAUCCGAAAAAAUCGUGAAAACUUGACGUUAAAAAAAACGACUUUCCGAACCGCCAAGACUUGAUGGAAUCAUUAUUUUGCUGUUCAAAAAAAAAAUAUGAGCGUUAAAGAAUCCAAAACUGUUCACCGGCCCUUAAUGUAGUAAACUUUUCUUAAUAUUGGGCAGAAACUGUCACUUGCUGAAAGACAGGGGCUGGAAUGGUAAUUCAGCAUCAACAAACCCCUUCAUUUGUAACAAAAACUGGAAAUGGUCCAAAAAUACCAAACUGUGAAAACAACAGGGACCAAAAGAGCCAAUUCGCUGAAGUUUCAGGGACCAAAAAUGAAACAUUAAGUCUUCUUCCCCAAUAUAUAUGGCUGAUAAAAGAAAUGCGCGACUGGAACAAAUUCUACAGAUCAUACUUUCGUUUCAAGCACCAGCAACCGAACCAAGGUUCGUUUCAAGAUCGCCAUUGAUUCACGCGAACAUAACCGAACGUUCGGUUCGUUUCUUAUUCCAAAUCGAGCUUCAUCAGGCGAAACUCCUUUCGCUUUCGGUUCAUCCUUCGAUCGCUCCAACCAUUAACAACCGAACCCAGCUUAAACACGCGAAUCCAAGAUNNNNNNNNNNNNNNNNNNNNNNNNNNNNNNNNNNNNNNNNNNNNNNNNNNNNNNNNNNNNNNNNNNNNNNNNNNNNNNNNNNNNNNNNNNNNNNNNNNNNNNNNNNNNNNNNNNNNNNNNNNNNNNNNNNNNNUCCAGGUUCAUUCCAAGGCCAUUGAUACAAAAGCGAAAUCAAGCAUCACGAUGCAAACAAGGAGUGAAACCUUAUCCUAGCCGAACAAUAGGUUUGCUUUCUGACUUCCCUUCAUUCGUUCCAAGGCAACAGAAGAACCCAAUCAUAGAUUCGCUUCAAUAUCGUCGAUUAUACCCCAAAGACAAGCACAAUAAACGAGUUUUCACAGGUAAGGCUUUCAUAGCGACUUUUUUGUUGACCAAUGUUCNCAUGAGCUGCUAACGCGAAUCUCCCCCCUUUCGUUCCAAGAGCUACCAACCGAACUCAAGUUCGUUCCAGGUACAUUCCAAGGCCAUUGAUACAAAAGCGAAAUCAAGCAUCACGAUGCAAACAAGGAGUGAAACCUUAUCCUAGCCGAACAACAGGUUUGCUUUCUGACUUCCCUUCAUUCGUUCCAAGGCAACAGAAGAACCCAAUCAUAGAUUCGCUUCAAUAUCGUCGCUUAUACCCCAAAGACAAGCACAGUAAACGAGUUUUCACAGGUAAGGCUUUCAUAGCGACUUUUCUGUUGACCAAUGUUCAUCCCAAUUAAGAUCGAUUCGUUUGCAGGUGAGAUUUUCAAACCAAUUUUGACUUCCAUUCGAUCGAUGUUAUAAAGCCCCUAUUAAGAGACCUGGUUGGCGAAGCGAACAUGACGUCAAGACAAAUCCGAAUGCAAUUACCCAUGCUAGAUCACGAUUCAAGUUCAGGCAUUGACCACAAAUCUCCUUCGUUCCAAUUUCUAUUCUAACAAUCUGAUUUUACAGUUCCGAUAAAAGAAUGUUUUCACACCUCCGAUUUUGACUUUUGUGGUUUGACUAUUCACAUCGAGAUACGGAAAAAUGUAUCUGUUCCGAUUCCUUCAUUUUGAUUGCGUUCAUCAUCGUUGCGAAUUGAAACAAAAUUUACACAAUUUCGAUUUAGAGAUCAAACACCACUUCAAUCGAAUUUAUCACCAUCUUCAUCUGUUCUUGAUAAUACUUCAUCUGUUCUUUAAACUCAAAAACAUCGAAUAACAAUUCUGGAUAAAUCCACGAAUCACUAACUGAUUUUGAAGAUGAAAAUGAUUCGAUUGUAAAACAUAAAUCAAUUAAAUGAAGAAUAAAUAUGAUGAAAGAUCGACAUCACGAGAAUCACGAUUCAGAAGGAGCUUGAAUCGAUUACACAGAAAGUGAUUUGGGCUUCAAAUUGAAUCAUAUGAACAAUAACGAUAAUGUUUGACGAACAGUAACUUAUCAAGAAUAAUAAUAUCUUCAGUCGAUCAAGACAUAAUCAUCGAUUGUUAAUUGAGACAAACCAUGAGUGGUCGAACAUAUGGAUGUAGCGAACAAAGGAGAUACAAAAGCAAAUGACGCAAAUGGAAACUCUGUGAUAUGAUAUUAGGGCUAAAAAACAAAUGAACAGUAACGAGCAAAAACUUUGGCCCAAAUCAAAAGAAAUUGAUUUACGAGGCAAUCGACUGAUUUAGAAAAAAAAUCAAUCAGAUCCAAUAGAGAAUAUGAACAAAAUAAGAUUUGGAUUGAAAUAAUACCCAGAUGAAUAGUAGCAUAAUUCAUAAAUCUCCAUGAACAGUUUCUUGAACAAGAAUCUUGAUUCCAUACCGCCAAAACACCAAUAAUCUUCAAUAUAUGUGCAGAAAAUCACCAAAUCAAGAACCGAUACUUCAAAAAUCAAUAGAUUUUCAAAGACCCGCUCUGAUACCACUUGUUGGGAUUAAAACCCUAAUUGUGAUUUGAUGAACAAGAUGCGGAAAAUAAGAACAAACACAAUUAUGAAGAUUAUGUCGAAUGAUCACUCGAUUUAUUGAAUUGUGAGGAACAAAUUCCACUUAAGAAAUAAGAAUCUAACUCUACAAGAAACCUCACGUGGCGGCUACAUUUUGCCUCACUCUCUUAACCCUAAUAAUGAAUAAUACAUGACUAUUUAUAGGGAAAAGACAAGUCUUGGGCUUUUAACCUAGAAUUCAUCAAAGGGGCCCAUUGCCAUCAUCCAUGGAGUGCUUUGAAACCCUACAUACCCU